CGCGCGAGGUCGGUGUGUCCGUUGACAGGUGGCAGUUGGCCCUGCUGAGAGAAGGAGUCGAAAAGCCAGCAAACUGAGUGCGAAAGGGGAGCAGGGAGGAAGCUUGGCGGGUGCCCUGAUGGACAGGCAGGCCUCCCCCCAAUGAAGAAAGGUAACCUGUUUAUGGAGAUUCACCCUGAAUUGUGUGCGGGGAGAUUAGACAACAUCAACUACUUACUGAACAAUCUGAUGUUAUACAGGAAGCUCCUGCCACCCAUUGGAACUGUGCUUGAUGUUCGGCUUCUGAAAAUCGUUCAAAACCGGAACACUCACUUCCGGGUUUCAAUGGUUUGGGAGCCAAGGCGUUUGAGAUCCAAGGGUUAGGGGGUUCCCCCCAAACUCAAAAGCUUCAGAGACCAGCGACCAUUGUGUGAUGUCUUUGGGCAGAAGGUGGACAAGAUUACUUCUUGUUGAAGAUAGAACUUUGACAGCACAUUGGCAAGGAGAUUGGGAUCCAAUCGGUGAAUCACUAUGUCGCUAUGGAAGAUACAGAGAUGCUUUACCACUAAAGGGCACUGAUUUCGGAGACUCUGUGGGCUGCACCAUUCUUCUCUUUCGGGGAAGAAAACUAUUCUUUUGUCUUUAGAUCCAGUAAGCAUCGAUCCAUGGAAAGAUACUAGAGCAUAGCUGUCAACUUACAGUUUUGAAAAUAAGGGACUAGGAGCCUUGAAAAUAA